CAAAGUUGCACGAGCGUAUGGACUUCGAACUUAUUUUUUGGUGUUUUAUUUUUGAAUGUUUGUCAAUCUGGAUUCUGAAGUUAAGUUGCAAUCAUGCAUCGAGAAAUAACCAAGAUUAUUGAAUGAACAACACAAGGUGUUUGAUAUUGUUUGUUUAUUAGCGAUUUGCAUUUUUGUGCAUUUAAAAGUUAAUAUUUGUUGUGAAUUUACUUACUCAAUAUGAGUAAACGAGUAAAGACCUACUGUGUACCAGGAUCCACGAAUAAGCAACUGAUAAGACAUUCCAUUCUUACGAAUGAAGACGUUUGCAGAAUUUGGUUGCAAAGAAUGAAUAAACCCAAGUUAAUGCUUGCAGAUACAGUAUUAUCAUCACAUAGAAUGUGUGAUAUUCAUUUUGAACCAAUUUGUACAAAACUUCAAUGACAGUUUAAAAUAACUUUCACUACCAACUCUACAUUUACCUGGGCAAAGAUCAACAAUAUAAAGACUACGAUGUUGUGAUGAAUAUGGCAUAUAUUAAAUAUAGGGAAAGCUGCAAAAAAGACAAUGGUAAUCAUUAAUUAACCAUGGUUAUGAAAUCAGUUUUUUAUAUACCAUUGUAUGUACCAUGUACAACCAGAAACACUUUUUAAACACGCCUACAUCUCACUGGACAGUCCUAAGCCUGCUAAAGUGUGAAGAAAAAUUUUUUGUUUGAGGAUAUAGUUAUAAAAUGUCAAAAAGAAAAUAAAAAUUAUAAUAAUCA